rnacentral:lncRNA from 1 species
GGGCAAAGGCUGUUUCAGGGGCUGUCCAGAAGUUAAACCCAUACUUGAUGCCACACAGAAAAAAAAAAGGAGGUGUUCAAAGACCCUCAGUACUCCCAAAGACGAAGAACACAUGAGACUACAAAACUUAGAAGUACCUGGAGUUGGCAGGGUGUUGGUGUAUGUUGGUGUGGGAGAGGAUGUGCUUGAAGUAGUUGAAAUGGGUGUAGUUGAGACAGGAACAGUUGGUGUUGUCUGUGAGGUGCUGCCACUGGUGGUGGGGGUGCUGGGGGACAUCGUGGUCGUAGUGGUGGUGGUGGUGGUAGGGGUGGUACUGCUGGGAGUCUCUGGUGUUGGCGUUGGAGUGGUUGUUGAUCUUGGAGUGGACACACUGGUCGUUGUGGGUGAAGCUGUGGAAGGUGUGGUGCUUGGGGUGCUCGGGGUGCUUGGAGUUGGAAGACACUCUGGGCGGUUGGGGGUGCAGCAGACACUGAUCUCAUAGUUGAGGCAGACUGGCAUUGGAAUUAUACCUCCUAUCUGCUGGUCUUUAUUGUUACAGACGAGACCUACGUCAACACUACAUUCCACUUUCUGCCCUAAAUCUGCAAUGGGAAUGUUAGGGAAUUUCUCUGAUCGGCAAGAAACAUUUUCAACUUUUGCACACUCCCAGGAGGGGAAGUUCUUCCAAAUGUUCUCAAAGGUUUCGUAGUCACCACUGUCCUUGUCAGAAGCAUUUGGGUAAGUCAUGUCAAUCCAGUCCGACCAGACGCAGUCACAGCCUGGGAGGCGACAACAAGACAGACAAUUAGAAACAGACAGGACAGAGACACCAAUGCAGGGCACCAGCUCACACACAGCUGAUGCCUUGGGCAUCCCCUGCACUCAACAGAGCUCCUCAUGCUGCUACUGCACACAGCCAACACUGGCCACAAGACAGCUCGGUGGUGUGGCCAGGGCUCUCCUUCUUGGCCCUACAAACCACUCCAGGCUCAAAUCAGGACACAGGCACUGAUGAGUUCUGUCCGUGCCCCCCACAGCUGGGUCACAUUGAUUUGUAUGGACUCUUGUGUGCAAAGAUACACUCACACAAGACGGACACAGGAGGCAGAGUGGGACUAAGCAGAGACUCCUGCCACUCUCAGCUUCUUGGGCCAUGCACACCAGCUCAAUAUCUCAUGGAGAAACUAAGCACUGGGAAGGAACCC